GGGGUCUAAUACCGGAUAUGACCUGGGGAUGCAUGUUCCCGGGUGGAAAGCUCCGGCGGUGCAGGAUGAGCCCGCGGCCUAUCAGCUUGUUGGUGGGGUGAUGGCCUACCAAGGCGACGACGGGUAGCCGGCCUGAGAGGGCGACCGGCCACACUGGGACUGAGACACGGCCCAGACUCCUACGGGAGGCAGCAGUGGGGAAUAUUGCACAAUGGGCGAAAGCCUGAUGCAGCGACGCCGCGUGAGGGAUGACGGCCUUCGGGUUGUAAACCUCUUUCAGCAGGGAAGAAGCGCAAGUGACGGUACCUGCAGAAGAAGCACCGGCUAACUACGUGCCAGCAGCCGCGGUAAUACGUAGGGUGCGAGCGUUGUCCGGAAUUAUUGGGCGUAAAGAGCUCGUAGGCGGCUUGUCGCGUCGGAUGUGAAAGCCCGGGGCUUAACUCCGGGUCUGCAUUCGAUACGGGCAGGCUAGAGUUCGGUAGGGGAGAUCGGAAUUCCUGGUGUAGCGGUGAAAUGCGCAGAUAUCAGGAGGAACACCGGUGGCGAAGGCGGAUCUCUGGGCCGAUACUGACGCUGAGGAGCGAAAGCGUGG
rnacentral:rRNA from 1 species